rnacentral:rRNA from 1 species
AUUGAACGCUGGCGGCAGGCCUAACACAUGCAAGUCGAGCGGAUGAGGGGAGCUUGCUCCUGGAUUCAGCGGCGGACGGGUGAGUAAUGCCUAGGAAUCUGCCUGGUAGUGGGGGAUAACGUCCGGAAACGGGCGCUAAUACCGCAUACGUCCUGAGGGAGAAAGUGGGGGAUCUUCGGACCUCACGCUAUCAGAUGAGCCUAGGUCGGAUUAGCUAGUUGGUGGGGUAAAGGCCUACCAAGGCGACGAUCCGUAACUGGUCUGAGAGGAUGAUCAGUCACACUGGAACUGAGACACGGUCCAGACUCCUACGGGAGGCAGCAGUGGGGAAUAUUGGACAAUGGGCGAAAGCCUGAUCCAGCCAUGCCGCGUGUGUGAAGAAGGUCUUCGGAUUGUAAAGCACUUUAAGUUGGAAGGAAGGGCAGUAAGUUAAUACCUUGCUGUUUUGACGUUACCAACAGAAUAAGCACCGGCUAACUUCGUG